GUAAUUGUAACGUAAAGUCAGAAUUAUUAUUAAAAAAAAAGUGACUUUCAGUUAGAUUAUCGACUUUAAUAAGUUGACAGGUGUUGGACCAGCAUGAAAUGAAUGAACAGUGACGGAGAGUGAAGUUGGAGAGCUGGCGCUAAGUGCUGAUUAAAAAAAAGGUAAUGGAUUGAUCUGUGGAAAACUAAAGUGAAAUCUGGGCAGAUAAUAAAUGCAUAUAAUCUGUUGGACUAAAAUGGCUAGGGCUAGAAACUGCUCGAAACCGGUGAUUUGGAUCUGGUUAAUCUCUGCCCUUACCUUUUAUGCUCUUUUCCUUAUGGUUACCCGCAAUUCUACAGGUAAAAUUGUAAUGUAGAUUAUAUUCAUCAAGUUAUUUCCUUUUAUUUUUGGUAAAAAUUGCUAUG
rnacentral:lncRNA from 1 species